rnacentral:rRNA from 1 species
GACGGACGCUGGCGGCGUGCUUAACACAUGCAAGUCGAACGGAAAGGCCCUGCUUUUGUGGGGUGCUCGAGUGGCGAACGGGUGAGUAACACGUGAGUAACCUGCCCUUGACUCUGGGAUAACUUCAGGAAACUGGGGCUAAUACCGGAUAGGAGCUCCUGCUGCAUGGUGGGGGUUGGAAAGUUUCGGCGGUUGGGGAUGGACUCGCGGCUUAUCAGCUUGUUGGUGGGGUAGUGGCUUACCAAGGCUUUGACGGGUAGCCGGCCUGAGAGGGUGACCGGCCACAUUGGGGCUGAGAUACGGCCCAGACUCCUACGGGAGGCAGCAGUGGGGAAUAUUGCACAAUGGGCGGAAGCCUGAUGCAGCAACGCCGCGUGCGGGAUGACGGCCUUCGGGUUGUAAACCGCUUUCGCCUGUGACGAAGCGUGAGUGACGGUAAUGGGUAAAGAAGCACCGGCUAACUACGUG